UAGGGAAUCUUCCACAAUGGACGAAAGUCUGAUGGAGCAACGCCGCGUGAGUGAAGAAGGGUUUCGGCUCGUAAAACACUGUUGUAAGAGAAGAAUGACAUUGAGAGUAACUGUUCAAUGUGUGACGGUAUCUUACCAGAAAGGAACGGCUAAAUACGUGCAAG
rnacentral:rRNA from 1 species